rnacentral:lncRNA from 1 species
AUGUGCGCGUUCCUGGGCUGGGCGGGGCCAGACCGUGGGCGGCCCUGCCCCAUCAUCGCCCCGCCCCCUCGGGGUCCAGUCCUCUGCCGCCGGCUUUCAUCUCCGCCGGUGAAAACCUGGCCUCUCCAGGGACUCCACUGCGUGUUCCCUGCUGGCUUAAGGCCGGGAGGCCCCAUCCUGCAGGCAGAGCCGAUCCUGGGACCGACGGAGGGUCAGCCACCACAGGUCAGGAGCGGGCUGGGGACACAGCAUCGGUUCUUCCUGGAACUCUGUACCUCCCCCAUUCCGGACCCAAAAUCCUGCGCGGUUGUGGUGCCAGCAUCUGGGUUGGGAUGCCUGUGGGAAAUCAGGGUAGUGUGGGCGUUUAGGGUGUUGCUGUGUGCGCAUGUGUGCAUAUUUGUGGGCCUCCAGAUGGGUGUGUGUGGAGGAGGGGUUGGUAGAGGCUUCAGUCUCGCAGCUCGAGGUGGGUUGGGCACAAGGCCUGGCUGUCUCUGCGAGCUAGCGUUAGUCACAGGCUCACCCGCCAACCCCGAUCCAGGCAGGGUUCCUUAUGUGAUAAGCGACACAACUGUACAUACAUAUCCUUUAUGUUUCAAAGGUCGCCACAGGCUCCAUGCCAGACCCACUUGUCUAGUGUGCGUUUUGCUGUCCACAUCCGCCCGUGGUCUUAUGGAGGGAAGUGAGUUUGCAGUGCAGGGAUUGGGCCAGAUGUGGAUGUUGGGGAGUUACAGGACUUUCGCCCAGGUCUCAUCUCCAUCCCUUUUCCAGGCAAGCUCCCCUUCUCUGCCCAGUCCAGGGUCUCUCUUCCCCAGGCCUCAGGAGGGAGGUCCCAGCAGAAUCAGCCCUGUAAGGGCAGGUGGGUCUUGGGACUGCGUGUUCUUCAGAUUUCCAGCCUGCAAGCCCUUUCCAAAUUCCCAGAAAAGAAAGGGCCCGGGUACUUCUGGGCCCACAUGCCCUCUGUGUUUGCUGAACCCACCAAGGAAGCCUCCCACCCUGCCCCUGACCAGGAGGUAA